AAGCGCCUUACGUCACAUCCGGCAUGUCAGAGCAGUGCGCACAAGAACUCGGCGUUCAGGAGACGAAGAAUCAACAGACGUAGCAGCGCAAGCUGAAGAGAGAAGGAGGCUCGAAAACAGCGAAUAUGCAAGAACCUGAGGAGGAAGGAGAGUCGUCAAGGAAGAAAAGCAAACCUGAAAAUAUUGUGUCUAAAUCCAAAAAAAAAAAGCACACGCAGAAGAGAACGACGUGCUAUAGAUAAAGGCACACGCAAACAGACGAGACAACAGUUCAGUGAAUCAGAGAGGAACAUGAGGAACAUGAACACCGAUACUGGCAACGUGGUAUGUCAUUGACUUAUUUCUGUGCUUUAUUAUACUCCUUAAAACUGUAUACACGUUAACAACUAAUCUCUUAAAGGCCAAGCAAUGUCCGAGUGAAUUGAUGAGACGCUUAAACAAGACAGAGAUCCGCGUUGGGAAAUACACGAUCUCCUCGGACGCACUGGACAGUCUAAAAGACAAGGAAUGGCUGGAUGAUGCAGUCAUUAAUGGAUAU